rnacentral:rRNA from 1 species
GACGAACGCUGGCGGCGUGCUUAACACAUGCAAGUCGAACGGAAAGGCCCUGCUUUUGUUGGGUGCUCGAGUGGCGAACGGGUGAGUAACACGUGAGUAACCUGCCCUUGACUUUGGGAUAACUUCAGGAAACUGGGGCUAAUACCGGAUAGGAGCGCCUGCUGCAUGGUGGGGGUUGGAAAGUUUCGGCGGUUGGGGAUGGACUCGGGGCUUAUCAGCUUGUUGGUGGGGGAGUGGCUUACCAAGGGUUUGACGGGUAGCCGGCCUGAGAGGGUGACCGGCCACAAUGGGCCUGCGAGACGGACCAGACUCCUACGGGAGGCAGCAGUGGGGAAUAUUGCACAAUGGGCGGAAGCCUGAUGCAGCAACGCCGCGUGCGGGAUGACGGCCUUCGGGUUGUAAACCGCUUUCGCCUGUGACGAAGCGUGAGUGACGGUAAUGGGUAAAGAAGCACCGGCUAACUACGUG